CCGAACGUUUAAAGUGUAUUCUAGAUGAUUGUGUUGAAUUUUCAAAAAGGUUCUGUAAGGAGCUGCUGAAGUAUGCUUCAAAUGGAAAUGUGAUCAGAACUGAAGUUGAAAAGGAGAUCAGUAACGCAACAGCAUCAGGCUUUACUGCAGAGAAACUUUCUAGGGAAAUUCAAAGUUCUGGGUAUUGGAUGAAUUCAUUUCUAGGAGGUUCUGACAUUUCAACAUUUGUAGCCAGCAGAAAAGGAAAACUUUUUGCAGUAAUUUUGAUUAUUGUUUAUCCCAUCGUUGUUACUUUGUUGAUGUCACGUAAAUAGAGAAAAACCUUAACGUAUUUGAACAGGCGUAACUCAUAUUAAUUGUGGUGAUGUAUACAAGUUUGAAUCAUUUCGGACUUAAAAUGGCAGUGCAGUCAGAUAUAAAAUUUUAUAUUUUGAUUAAACAAAGAUAAAUCAAUUUGUAAAUAAAGUUCGAAUUAUGUUUAAACAAA